UACGUAGGGGGCAAGCGUUGUCCGGAAUUACUGGGCGUAAAGCGUGCGCAGGCGGUUCGCUAAGACCGAUGUGAAAUCCCCGGGCUUAACCUGGGAACUGCAUUGGUGACUGGCGAGCUAGAGUGUGGCAGAGGGGGGUAGAAUUCCACGUGUAGCAGUGAAAUGCGUAGAGAUGUGGAGGAAUACCGAUGGCGAAGGCAGCCCCCUGGGCUAACACUGACGCUCAUGCACGAAAGCGUGGGGAGCAACAGG
rnacentral:rRNA from 1 species